rnacentral:rRNA from 1 species
GGAAUAUUGGGCAAUGGGGGGAACCCUGACCCAGCCAUGCCGCGUGAGGGAAUGAGGCCCUACGGGUCGUGAACCUCUUUUGCCCGGGGACAAGGACGGCGUCGAGAACGCCGUUUGCGGGUACCGGGCGAAUAAGCAUCGGCUAACUCCGUGCCAGCAGCCGCGGUAAUACGGAGGAUGCGAGCGUUAUCCGGAUUCAUUGGGUUUAAAGGGUGCGCAGGCGGCUGCCUAAGUCAGCGGUGAAAGUCAGGGGCCCAACCCCGGAAGUGCCGUUGAUACUGGGUGGCUGGAAUGCGGUCGAGGCGGGCGGAAUGUGGUGUGUAGCGGUGAAAUGCAUAGAUAUGCCACAGAACGCCGAUAGCGAAGGCAGCUCGCCAGGCCUGCAUUGACGCUCGGGCACGAAAGCGUGGGGAUCAAACA